rnacentral:rRNA from 1 species
AGUGAACGCUGGCGGUAGGCCUAACACAUGCAAGUCGAACGGCAGCACAGUAAGAGCUUGCUCUUACGGGUGGCGAGUGGCGGACGGGUGAGGAAUACAUCGGAAUCUACUUUUUCGUGGGGGAUAACGUAGGGAAACUUACGCUAAUACCGCAUACGACCUACGGGUGAAAGCAGGGGAUCUUCGGACCUUGCGCGAUUGAAUGAGCCGAUGUCGGAUUAGCUAGUUGGCGGGGUAAAGGCCCACCAAGGCGACGAUCCGUAGCUGGUCUGAGAGGAUGAUCAGCCACACUGGAACUGAGACAAGGUCCAGACGCCUACGGGAGGCAGCAGUGGGGAAUAUUGGACAAUGGGAGCAAGCCUGAUCCAGCCAUACCGCGUGGGUGAAGAAGGCCUUCGGGUUGUAAAGCCCUUUUGUUGGGAAAGAAAAGCAGCAGGUUAAUACCCCGCUGUUCUGACGGUACCCAAAGAAUAAGCACCGGCUAACUUCGUG